CGGUAGGCUUGCACUUAGCUUGAACUCAUGGAUUAAAAAUUACUGCGGCACCAUAACAACUUAAUUGAAGUGAAGUUGUUAUGGUGCAAUGAGGUCCCCGGGCACUUGCUUACCUCAAGGGGUUAAUCAUUAACUGAGGUCAAUCAGAGCUCCAGGCUCUCACUGAGCUACCAUUUUUGAACAGUUCAAAAAAUGAUCUUG